GGACUACCGGGGUAUCUAAUCCUGUUUGCUCCCCACGCUUUCGCGCCUCAGCGUCAAUCACGGGCCAGAUGGCCGCCUUCGCCACCGGUGUUCUUCCCAAUAUCUACGAAUUUCACCUCUACACUGGGAAUUCCGCCAUCCUCUCCCGCCUUCAAGCGCCGCAGUAUCAUGCGCAGUUCCCAGGUUGAGCCCGGGCCUUUCACGCCUGACUUGCAGCACAGCCUACGCGCCCUUUACGCCCAGUAAUUCCGAACAACGCUAGCCCCCUUCGUAUUACCGCGGCUGCUGGCAC
rnacentral:rRNA from 1 species